rnacentral:rRNA from 1 species
GAAGCGAACCGGGGGAACUGAAACAUCUAAGUACCCCGAGGAAAAGAAAUCAACCGAGAUUCCCCCAGUAGCGGCGAGCGAACGGGGAGCAGCCCAGAGUCUGAAUCAGCAUGUGUGGUAGUGGAACGGUCUGGAAAGUCCGACGGUACAGGGUGAUAGUCCCGUACACAAAAUCACAUGUGUUGUGAACUCGAAGAGUAGGGCGGGACACGUGGUAUCCUGUCUGAAUAUGGGGGGACCAUCCUCCAAGGCUAAAUACUCCUGACUGACCGAUAGUGAACCAGUACCGUGAGGGAAAGGCGAAAAGAACCCCGGCGAGGGGAGUGAAAAAGAACCUGAAACCGUGUACGUACAAGCAGUGGGAGCCCUGAUUUAUCAGGGUGACUGCGUACCUUUUGUAUAAUGGGUCAGCGACUUAUAUUCUGUAGCAAGGUUAACCGUAUAGGGGAGCCGAAGGGAAACCGAGUCUUAACUGGGCGUUAAGUUGCAGGGUAUAGACCCGAAACCCGGUGAUCUAGCCAUGGGCAGGUUGAAGGUUGGGUAACACUAACUGGAGGACCGAACCGACUAAUGUUGAAAAAUUAGCGGAUGACUUGUGGCUGGGGGUGAAAGGCCAAUCAAACCGGGAGAUAGCUGGUUCUCCCCGAAAGCUAUUUAGGUAGCGCCUCGUGAACUCAUCUUCGGGGGUAGAGCACUGUUUCGGCUAGGGGGUCAUCCCGACUUACCAACCCGAUGCAAACUACGAAUACCGAAGAAUGUUAUCACGGGAGACACACGGCGGGUGCUAACGUCCGUCGUGAAGAGGGAAACAACCCAGACCGCCAGCUAAGGUCCCAAAGUCACAGUUAAGUGGGAAACGAUGUGGGAAGGCACAGACAGCCAGGAUGUUGGCUUAGAAGCAGCCAUCAUUUAAAGAAAGCGUAAUAGCUCACUGGUCGAGUCGGCCUGCGCGGAAGAUGUAACGGGGCUAAACUGUGCACCGAAGCUGCGGCAGCGACACUAUGUGUUGUUGGGUAGGGGAGCGUUCUGUAAGCCGUUGAAGGUGUCCUGUGAGGGGUGCUGGAGGUAUCAGAAGUGCGAAUGCUGACAUAAGUAACGAUAAUGCGGGUGAAAAACCCGCACGCCGGAAGACCAAGGGUUCCUGUCCAACGUUAAUCGGGGCAGGGUGAGUCGACCCCUAAGGCGAGGCCGAAAGGCGUAGUCGAUGGGAAACAGGUUAAUAUUCCUGUACUUGGUGUUACUGCGAAGGGGGGACGGAGAAGGCUAUGUUAGCCGGGCGACGGUUGUCCCGGUUUAAGCAUGUAGGCGGAGAGUUUAGGUAAAUCCGGACUCUUAUUAAACGCUGAGGUGUGAUGACGAGGCACUACGGUGCUGAAGUAACAAAUGCCCUGCUUCCAGGAAAAGCCUCUAAGCAUCAGGUAACACGAAAUCGUACCCCAAACCGACACAGGUGGUCAGGUAGAGAAUACCAAGGCGCUUGAGAGAACUCGGGUGAAGGAACUAGGCAAAAUGGUGCCGUAACUUCGGGAGAAGGCACGCUGAUGGUAGGUGAAGCGACUUGCUCGUGGAGCUGAAAUCAGUCGAAGAUACCAGCUGGCUGCAACUGUUUAUUAAAAACACAGCACUGUGCAAACACGAAAGUGGACGUAUACGGUGUGACGCCUGCCCGGUGCCGGAAGGUUAAUUGAUGGGGUUAUCCG